rnacentral:rRNA from 1 species
GAUGAACGCUGGCGGCGUGCCUAAUACAUGCAAGUCGAGCGAACAGACGAGGAGCUUGCUCCUCUGACGUUAUCGGCGGACGGGUGAGUAACACGUGGAUAACCUACCUAUAAGACUGGGAUAACUUCGGGAAACCGGAGCUAAUACCGGAUAAUAUAUUGAACCGCAUGGUUCAAUAGUGAAAGACGGUUUUGCUGUCACUUAUAGAUUGAUCCGCGCCGCAUUAGCUAGUUGGUAAGGUAACGGCUUACCAAGGCAACGAUGCGUAGCCGACCUGAGAGGGUGAUCGGCCACACUGGAACUGAGACACGGUCCAGACUCCUACGGGAGGCAGCAGUAGGGAAUCUUCCGCAAUGGGCGAAAGCCUGACGGAGCAACGCCGCGUGAGUGAUGAAGGUCUUCGGAUCGUAAAACUCUGUUAUUAGGGAAGAACAAAUGUGUAAGUAACUAUGCACGUCUUGACGGUACCUAAUCAGAAAGCCACGGCUAACUACGUG